GACAGAGGAGCCAAGCGUUGUCCGGAUUGACUGGGCGUAAAGCGCACGCAGGCGGUCGCGCGCAUGGGGUGUGAAAACUGGCGGCUUAACUGCCAGAGGCCAUCCCAUACGGCGCAACUCGAGCCAUGCAGAGGUCCACGGAAUUGCCGGUGUAGUGGUGAAAUGCGUAGAGAUCGGCAGGAACACCCAGGGGGAAACCAGUGGACUGGGCAUGUGCUGACGCUCAGGUGCGAAAGCGUGGGGAGCGAACCGG
rnacentral:rRNA from 1 species